rnacentral:rRNA from 1 species
CCUACGGGAGGCAGCAGUGGGGAAUCUUCCGCAAUGGGCGAAAGCCUGACGGAGCAACGCCGCGUGAAUGAAGAAGGCCUUCGGGUCGUAAAGUUCUGUUGAAAGGGAAGAAGUCUCUUUAUGUGAAAAAUGUAGAGAGGUGACGGUACCUUUUGAGGAAGCUCCGGCUAACUACGUGCCAGCAGCCGCGGUAAUACGUAGGGAGCAAGCGUUGUCCGGAAUUACUGGGCGUAAAGGGCGCGUAGGCGGGAUCUUAAGUCAGGUGUGAAAACUCUGGGCUCAACUUAGAGAUUGCACAUGAAACUGGGAUUCUUGAGGACAGGAGAGGAAAGUGGAAUUCCUAGUGUAGCGGUGAAAUGCGUAGAUAUUAGGAGGAACACCAGUGGCGAAGGCGACUUUCUGGACUGUAACUGACGCUGAGGCGCGAAAGCGUGGGGAGUGAACGGGAUUAGAUACCCCGGUAAUCCACGCUGUAAACGAUGGGUACUAGGUGUAGGAGGUAUCGACCCCUUCUGUGCCGGAGUUAACGCAAUAAGUACCCCGCCUGGGGAGUACGGCCGCAAGGUUGAAACUCAAAGGAAUUGACGG